rnacentral:tRNA from 1 species
CCGUCGAUAGCUCAGUUGGCAGAGCGGUGGACUGUAGUUGGUGAAGCAGACAUCCAUAGGUCGCUGGCUCGACGGA